GGGCGUGUAGCUCAAUGGUAGAGCAGUGGCCUUUUAAGCCAUUGGUUGGGAGUUCGAGCCUCCCCACGCUCA
rnacentral:tRNA from 3 species